GGGCCAGUUGGUGAAUGAAAUAAAAAGCUGCAACCAUUAGGUCACAGUUCCGUCUUUAUCUUCUUCUUCUUUGCUGAGACUUUCCUAUUACUACGAUUUGGUUAAGAAAUUAUAGAAACCAAACCCUAGAUCAUGAGAUUAAGUCAGAGACGAGAGAGAGCAAAUGAAAGAGAAGAAAAGUCUGGAUAUGAGGCUUUGCUUCUCAGAGAAGGAACAAGUGUCAGCUGCUCCUUCUCUCUGAUGGAUAGUGAAGCCAGUGAUUGCACAAUUUUCACUUCUUUAAGGAUUAUUUCAACAGAGAAACAAAACUCGCUCUCUCUCGCUCUCAAUCUUAAUCUCAGUCACUCUGAUGAGGCUGUGAUGAUUCAUUCUGAAAUAAACUCAAAAAAUCAGACGAUUGAAGAUCUUUGUACCUCAUGGCGCGGCAGCUUCUGGGUAUCUUUAAAAAGUACUUCUUGUUGCUCCCAUGUGGGUAAAGUUUCAAUCCUUCUUUGAUAAAAGGCGAAUCUGAGCCUCCUUAUACGGCUUUGAGUUGAACUCUCUGAGACCCGUUUCUUGGCGGGGCAACCCGGAGAUGACUCCACGUUGCAGCCAUUGAACUUCUUAAGGUUUCACUUUCAGAGCUGAAUCUGAGCCCCCUAUAUCUACUACUUCUUCCAGCUUGUUUUUUUGUUUUAUGUUUAUUAUUUCGUUUACCGGUUUGCUAAAUUCGAAAUCAAGCAUUUUGGUUGUGAGAAAGGAUAAAAAUUUCUCAAGUUUAUGUGAGGCACUCUCUGUUUUUCUGAAUCAAAAUCCAAGUUUUAAAAACUCGAAGCAGAAUUAAGAGGGUUUUCUUUGGAUUCUCUAGUUGAGAGACAAUGGCAUUUUGCUUUUAGCUCAGGCACUUGCCAUGUGAAAUGGGUUUUGUUGGAAAUUUGUAAGUUUAAUCUAAAGUGGAUUUUUGUUAACAGGUUAUGAAUGUGAAUACUUUUGAAUUUCAUGAGACUUAAAAAGUUUCUUGCAAUUUAGUUUAGCUGAAUCCUGAUGCUUCAUGACACCAGUUGGUAAAAUCUCUCUUUCUUUCUAAGAAUUAAAAGAAUGAACAAAAUAAGGAAGGAAAAAAAAUGGUAAGUUGUAAACUAUAUUUGCAUGUUGAUUAGAUGCUCUAAUUACAAUCCUUGGGAAGGUUGCGGGGCAUAUAUUCAGUUCCAUAAGCCACGCAAAUCAACCUCUGGAUGCCAACAUCUAAACAACAGAGAAGAUGAAGAAGUUACAAGUCUGUAUGAGAAGCCAUUUUUUUAAAAGAUCACAGAGAGAGAAAACACAGUACCAUGACAUCCACUAGAGAAACUCCGAAUUUCUGAAGGUUGGAAAUGCCAAAUUGAGCUUCAUGUAGGAGGAGGAGCAGCAUGAGUACUAGACCCUGAUCUGAGGCUGCGAAUGGGCUGGGGCCAUUGCCAACUGAAGUGGUAAUACUGGCCACAGCAGAUAGUCUCUCAUCAGCAAAUUUUCGCUUCAUCAGGCAAUGGGUGAGGUUGCUUUUCUGGUGAAAUGUUAGCUGUUCUAGGUAGUAUUAUAUGUCAAAUUGGCAUUGGGUCAGAACAUGGAUUUCCUGCAAUCUAAAAACAAAAUGGUUAUGUCCCAAGCUUCUAGUGGAUGAAUUUAGUUCACAGCUUUGCUUGAUUGUGCAUAAUACAUACUAAAAUAUCUGGUGACAGUGGCAGGAAACUCAGUUACAACCCAUUUACUCCCAUUGCAGUAUAAGAUGCCAUCUCCGCAACAGGAUCUGUGUAUUGUGUUCAUUCAUGAAAAUUUCAACGAUUGUUGAGCCA